GCACAAGCAGCGGAGCGUGUGGUUUAAUUCGAUGCUACACGAAGAACCUUACCAGGGUUUGACAUGCAAGUGGUAGGAACCGAAAGGCGACGACCUUCGGGAGCUUGCACAGGUGCUGCAUGGCUGUCGUCAGCUCGUGUCGUGAGAUGUUCGGUUAAGUCCGCUAACGAGCGCAACCCUCGCUGUGUGUUACAAGUGUCACACGGGUACUGCCGGUCUUAAGCCGGAGGAAGGUGGGGAUGACGUCAAGUCAGCAUGGCCUUUAUGUCCUGGGCUACACACACGCUACAAUGGCCAACACAAUAGGUUGCUAAGCCGCGAGGUGGAGCCAAUCCUCAAAGUUGGUCUCAGUUCAGAUUGCAGGCUGCAACCCGCCUGCAUGAAGAUGGAGUUGCUAGUAACCGCAGGUCAGCUAUACUGCGGUGAAUACGUUCCCGGGGCUU
rnacentral:rRNA from 1 species